CCCUUAGAUGUCCUGGGCCGCACGCGCGCUACACUGAUGCAUGCAACGAGUUUAUAACCUUGGCCUGAAAGGUCUGGGUAAUCUUUUGAACGUGCAUCGUGAUAGGGAUAGAUUAUUGCAAUUGUUAAUCUUGAACGAGGAAUUCCUAGUAAACGCGAGUCAUCAGCUCGCAUUGAUUACGUCCCUGCCCUUUGUACACACCGCCCGUCGCACCUACCGAUUGAAUGGUUCGGUGAAGAUCUCGGACUUCGAUAUUUAUUCUUUAUUGAGUUUAUAUUGUGGGAAGCUAUCUAAACCUCAUCAUUUAGAGGAAGGUGAAGUCGUAACA
rnacentral:rRNA from 1 species